AGCCGAUCAUCCGUCGCUAAGUCGUAAAUCGUAGGCCAGAGUCGAACGUACGUCGUCCUGGCAUGAAUCGGGAGUCGACCGACUUCCAGGCACGAGUCCGUUGAGUCGGGCACGCUAGCGGUGUCGAAGGUCGAUCGCGGGGACGAAGGUCGACCGACCUUUGGGCGCACCCUGAUGACCCGAGUGUCGUCCGACAAGAUCAGUUGGAUGGCGUCUGAUACAUCAUCGUACGGCGUCGACGUGUUUGGCCGGAAAAGUGAUGGUAAGUCGAGUUCCCACUACCCAGACUUAGGUCGGGUGCUUAUGUCGCG
rnacentral:lncRNA from 1 species